AUUGACCGCUGGCGGCAGGCCUAACACAUGCAAGUCGAACGAGUGGCGGACGGGUGAGUAAUUUAUGGGAAACUGCCUGAUGGAGGGGGAUAAAUACUGGAAACGGUAGCUAAUACCGCAUACCAUCAGAUGUGCCCAGAUGGGAUUAGCUAGUAGGUGGGGUAAUGGCUCACCAAGGGGACGAUCCCUAGCUGGGCUGAGAGGAUGACCAGACAGACUGGAACUUAGACACGGUCCAGACUCCUACGGGAGGCAGCAGUGGGGAAUAUUGCACAAUGGGCGCAAGCCUGAUGCAGCCAUGCCGCGUGUAUGAAGAAGGCCUUCGGGUUGUAAAGUACUUUCAGCGGGGAGGCGUUACCCGCAGAAGAAGCACCGGCUAACUCCGUGCCAGCAGCCGCGGUAAUUC
rnacentral:rRNA from 1 species